CGCGGCCACCGGGGGCCGGCGAGGAGCGCGGCGGGAGGAGCGGCCGGGGAGGAGCCGGAGGGAGGAGGAGCGCCGGAGGGGAGCCGGGCUCCGCGGCGGCGGCGCGCAGGAUGCCGAGGACCUGACACUUCUUGGAAACUCCUGGAAAUGGCUCCCGCCACGGCACCCGAGGGGGCUGCGAGCCGCGGGCGGACGAUCGCCCCCGCCGGGCAGCCGGGCAGCGCUCGCGUGCGGGGCCCCGAGGCGCCGUCCCUGCGCCCCGCCGUCGGCUCGGGCUGAAAAGUUUCUCCAUGCUUCCUUUGUGUCGCCCGAGCGCCCGUUCUCCAGCCCGCAGCUGCUCGGGUCUCCCAGGCGGGAGGAGGAGGUGACGGAGAGCUAGUGGGCAGCUGGCGCCCCCCGAGGGGCAGCCUCGGCCUCCACCCCUGCCCCGGGGGUCGCCAUGAUCGCCACCGGCGGCCUGCUGAGGAUUUCCGCCCGGAAGCAGGAUCCGCUCCGGCCGCCCAGCCAGCUCCCCAAGCGCAAGAGGAAAGCCAAGAGGAGACGCAAGAACGACGUGGUGGUGGUGAAGGGCAAACUCAAGCUGUGCUCCGUCUCCGGCCUCAUCGCCCUCUGUGGGAUCCUCGUGCUUUUGGUGGGCAUCGCCAUGGCCGUGGUGGGCUACUGGCCCAAGACCAACGGGGCGCCGCGGGAGGGCGCCAGGCAGCCCGCGGGCAGCGGCCUCCGCGUCCCCCCGUCGGCGGCCAACCUCAGCCGUGGGGCGUCCGGAGGCCACGCGAGGACCCCAGGGGGCGUCAACUUCAGCUCCGCGGGCGCCCCCCCGGGCACGCCUCCCGCGCCUCCCGCGCGCCCGGCCUCCGCCGCCGCCGCCGCCGCCUCCUCCGCGUCCACGGCCGCGUCGGUGGGCUUCUUCUUCCGCAUCUUCUCGGGCUAUCUGCACUCGGACAAGCUCAAGGUCUUCGGGCCCCUCAUCAUGGGCAUCGGCAUCUUCCUCUUCAUCUGCGCCAACGCGGUGCUCCACGAAAACCGGGACAAGAAGACGAAGGUCAUCAACCUGCGGGACCUCUACUCCACCGUCAUCGACGUGCACAGCCUCCGCGCCAAAGACCUGGCGGCCGCCGCCGCCGCCGCCGCCGCCUCGGCCUCCGCGCCGGCCUCCGCCACCCCCGGAGCGGCGCCGCUCAACGGCUUCCUCAGCUACGCGCAGUCCCGGGGGCUGGAGCUGAAGCCCGGCGGCUGUGCGGGCUCCAGAGACGCCUUCGGGGCCGCGGCGCUGCUGGCCCGGGGCUCCUGGCCCCAUCCCGGGGCUGCCAGCGGCGGCGGGGCCCUGGGUCCGGCGUCCCCCCCCGACCCGGAGGCAUCCCCCGGCUGCCCGCGGGAGCCCCCGAGCCUGGCCGAGGCCGUCUACAGCAUCUACCGCGAGCGCUCCUGCUUGGCCAGUCGUCGCCGGACCGUGAUCGCCGCGGCGGCUGCGGCCCCCGCCGCCCGCACCACGGCCGCCAGCGGCGGCAGCAGCCCGGCGCCCGGCAGCCCGCCCGAGAGCUGGGGGCGCCAGAGCACCGCCAGCUCGCUCGUGGGCUCCUCACUGAGCGCCCUGGCGCUGGUGCCCUUCCAGGGGGACCGCGACGGGGACCGCGACGGGGACGGGGACGCCCAAGGCGCUAGCUGCAGCUGGCAUCGGCCACCCGGCGAGCGCGGGGCGCGGGAGAUCCCGCGCGGCGAGCUGGACCUGAGCCUGACGGAGCUCCGCGGCGCCGAGGGCGGCGCGCGCUGGGCGGCCGGCGAGCCGGGGGCGCCGGGGGAGCCCGCGGAGGGCGCGACGCCGGCGCGCGCCGCCAGGGGGCAGGGCGGACGCCUGCCCAGGACCGGCGGGAAGGCGACCUGGCGGCGCCGCAGCACCAGCGGCCUCCCGGACUACCGGGCGCCGCCCUCGCCCGAGCCCCCGCCCUCCAGCAGCCGGGCCGCCGGGGACGCCGCUGCUCCUCCGGACCGGGACGCCGACCCCGCGUCCCCCCUGCGAUCGGACGACUCGCCCCGCGCCCGGCGGGACUCGCGGAGCUCGCGGGCGGAGGAGCCGUCUGGCAGCCGCCACAAGGGCUACACCGCGCUGCGGGAGGCCGACACCUCGGUGGAGUCGGUGGUGGAGGAGGCCGGGGUCGGUCAGAGCCCCGCCGAGGGGCCCGGCCAGGAGGCCCCCGAGGCCCGGUCGCCUCGGGGGGUGCAGAGGCACUUCACAAACAAGGAGAAACUCCUCAUGGUGUCCAGGUCGCCGGCCGAGGCGGGGGAGGGCCAGGACCGCGACCCGGAGGGCAGCGCUGGCGUUUAGGGGAAGGGGGGAGAAGACGGCCGGCCGGAGCCCCCGGAAACCAUCCCAUAGCCAAAGAGCUGAAGAAUGUCAUGCUUGAAUCGUGUCCGCAAGAUUCCUGUAGAUAACUCCAAGCAAUCUUUUCAAAGCAAACUAGUCAUUUCUUUUUUUUUUUUUUUAAUGUCCGAUGGUGAUUGUAUGUUCCAUGAAAACCAAUUGUAUUAAAAGGGAAAUCACCUUUGAGGUUUCUUCCUUCAAGAAGGGAAUGAGUUUCAUUAAAUGGAUAUGGAAGUUAUAUUUUUUCUAUUAUGCAACCACAACUUGGGGAGUUCAUCCCUAGUCCGCUGUGCUCUGCUACUCUCCAGACUUAAGAACGGUGUAUUCACCCUGUGCCCUCUGUCUGUGAUGUAAAAAGCACUGAGUCCAUAGGGCUUGAGCCACAUGAGUUAGUUCUGUGUCAGCCACUCUAGCCUUCACCCAGCAGCAAAGGUCCUGGAGACCUUCAACCACCUGAAAAUAUAUUGAAUGGGCUCCCAAUCUUAGCCCUUCAGUGAUGCCAACUGAGGCAGAGCCCUGCUUGCUGUCAACAGAACGUUUGGCUAAUGCAGCACCAAGAUAACCUCAAAUGACUGGAAGAGUUUGCACUGAAAGUGUCAUAAAGAUGUGCCUGUGCCCAUAACCUGUGCUAUGGUCCCACCUGGUGACAAGUCCCAGAAAAGGCAUGGAACCUGGUUCUUAAAAGCAAAAAGGAAGCCAGGGGGCAGGUCCAAGGGUGGCAGAAAGAAAAGGGCCCUGUAUAAAGUUCAAAGAAAGAUAGUCAGGCUAGUGUCUCUACAUAUACUUGUACCUCAUUAAAGAGCACUUGCUUAUAGAUAGCUUCAUAUGUAGACAAGAGUUUUACAAAGAAAAAAUUACAGUAGCUUUUGUUUCUUAAGAAAUAUCCUUUAAGCAAAUGCAUGGCUAGAAGUUAACUUGUACAUUUUUUAAUAUAUGAGAAAUUGACAUUGUAUUAAUGAACCCAGUUGGUCCUACUAAAUAUUAAACAUCUAAUAAGGUUGAAAACAAUUCCAUUGAAGUUGAGAAAGUCAGUUAUCUCUGAGCUAUGUCUAUGCUUUCAAAGAAUCAAAUUCUAAAGGUAGUGAUUACUCACCAAGGUAUUAUGUCAAUUGAGGAAAACUAGGCCAAAUAAACUAGCUUCCAUGUAGGCCUGGUGCCAUUCCUUUCCUUUAUUGGCAUAAUUAUACUAUUAUACUGAAUUUUGUAGAGAUAUAACUUACAGAAAAUAAUCACAUCUUUAAGCAGCCAUGGACCACACUGCUGACCUUUUGUUAAAAUACACAAAUCGUUUUCAGAUCAUUUCAAGAUCUAUUCUAUGCUGCAUAUGUAUGGUGAAUUACAUAGGCAUGUUAUGUAAUUCACAUGUUAGGGUCAGAGGACAGAAUGACCCAUAAGACACCCCUUCUGACCACACAUACCGGCAGAGGUUCAUUUUGAGAGAGUCACAUUAACCAGAAAUUUCCAUGUACUGUAACUCUUGCAAGAGAGUUAUGUGGGCCUGCCAUCAAGCCCAGAGAAGGGAAGAAAUGAUCAAAUGUGUACAGAAAUAUGGAAAGUAGAAUCAGUAGAUGGGACGAGAAGGAACCAGCAUGAGCAAUAGCAGAGGCAAAACAAAUGCAAUACCCUAGAUUUUCACAGAAUGGUUUAGCUUUGCUUUCCUCUAGGAUUUCCAGAAGGACAGUGCUCACUUUGUGGGGGGAAAUUCAACUGUACAUUUCUUUAACAAUAGACAUAGGUAGAUAAUCUCCUUUAUAUUCCCACUGUUGCAUAUGUUGCAUAUGUAUUAACUGUUUGUAACUGACUUGACCAGUACCACUUCCUUAACUGGGCAGUGUCAGUGCCUAGAGCAAGCAAGCCCUAUUCCGAUUGGAUUGUCUUUAUGAACAAGGACAGUUUUUGUCGAAUUAUAUAUUGCUUUAAGAUUGCCAUUUAUUUUACACUUUUAAAUUCUGGAAGUCAUUUUCCAAGAUGCUUGAAUAAUAAGGUAAAACUGGGUGAAAAAAUGGAUUCCUUGAUAGUGCUGUUGGUGUUAUAUCUGGGGUGGCUAGAAACACUGUGCUCACCUCGGUACUGUGAAGACUGGAGGAACAUAAAUUGGGGGCUCCUCUAUCAGACUGCAGGUCAUUUUGCUGAAUCUAGACAUAAAAACUGAAUGUAUUUCUACAGAUUUCUACAUCAAUUUACAACAUCGUAUAUGUCAGAGCAAAAAAAAAUCUAUUUUUGUUAAUAGCAAAACUCCAUUUCUUUUUGUACUCAUGUAAGUGUUCACUGCAAAAGGGAAGCUAA